CAGCGACACACAGAUUGAUUGACACACAUAGAAAAACACAUCUGUGUUCAUUUCAGACGUGCAUUGUUUAUGUUGGACAGAACAUGACCAGCACUAUCAUCUUGUCACCUGCACCUCCCCCUCUUCUGAUUCAGAAGAGAAUCAAGCAGGAGUGACGUUAUGGAGCACAGAGAGUGGAGCAGUCAGUCAGCUGCUGGAGUGUCCGUAUGGGCAGCCAACCUGUCCCGAGAAACACACCAGUAGGGCUGGUGAACAUGCUACCAAACAGCACAUAAAUGAAGAUGUUUGUCCUGGUUUCAGUGACGUACAUCCACACCUAGAACCUCAAGCCGGAAGUCUCACAGGUUCUCAAAGCUCAGGUUAUGGUUGGAUAUUAUUUAUUCAGAACAAGUAAACACCCUUAAUAAAAUGUUAUGUUUGUAUAUGUAUGUAUUAGGCAUAUUAUACUGAAGGCACCAUAGUGCAGCCUUUAUUUUGUAUCCUA